rnacentral:rRNA from 1 species
UGGGGAAUAUUGCGCAAUGGGGGGAACCCUGACGCAGCCAUGCCGCGUGAAUGAAGAAGGCCUUAGGGUUGUAAAGUUCUUUCGGUAUUGAGGAAGGUUGAUGUGUUAAUAGCACAUCAAAUUGACGUUAAAUACAGAAGAAGCACCGGCUAACUCCGUGCCAGCAGCCGCGGUAAUACGGAGGGUGCGAGCGUUAAUCGGAAUAACUGGGCGUAAAGGGCACGCAGGCGGUUAUUUAAGUGAGGUGUGAAAGCCCCGGGCUUAACCUGGGAAUUGCAUUUCAGACUGGGUAACUAGAGUACUUUAGGGAGGGGUAGAAUUCCACGUGUAGCGGUGAAAUGCGUAGAGAUGUGGAGGAAUACCGAAGGCGAAGGCAGCCCCUUGGGAAUGUACUGACGCUCAUGUGCGAAAGUGUGGGGAGCAAACAGGAUUAGAUACCCUGGUAGUCCACGCUGUAAACGCUGUCGAUUUGGGGGUUGGGGUUUAACUCUGGCGCCCGUAGCUAACGUGAUAAAUCGACCGCCUGGGGAGUACGGCCGCAAGGUUA